rnacentral:rRNA from 1 species
UACGGGGGGGGCAAGCGUUGUUCGGAAUUACUGGGCGUAAAGGGUUCGUAGGUGGCUUGCUAAGUCAGACGUGAAAUCCCUCAGCUUAACCGGGGAACUGCGUCUGAUACUGGAUGGCUUGAGUUCGGGAGAGGGAUGCGGAAUUCCAGGUGUAGCGGUGAAAUGCGUAGAUAUCUGGAGGAACACCGGUGGCGAAGGCGGCAUCCUGGACCGACACUGACACUGAGGAGCGAAAGCCAGGGGAGCAAACGGG